CCUUCCACGUGGGUCUAAUGAUGACUCCUUAGAACACAUUUGAAAAAAAAAAAAGGCAAGAACAAAUAUGGUAAAGCAAAAUUGAUUCUUUGAAUUCAAGAAAACUAAAAGGAGAAGGAAAGAUCUGAAAUUCCAUAGGUUCAGCUGUAAGAAAAGAUUUCUAGCGAUUAUCGCAGCUCUGAGCUCAGAAGCCAUGGGAGCCUCCUUGCUUAGCUUCAAAAACCAGAGCUGGGUAACGCCAAAACAGCAAAAAAAAGGUUUUGAAGAGUCUGUCAGACAGCCAUUAGACCAUCUCAGGCACUUUUAUUGGAGCUGAGAACGAUCAUCUACUGCGCCAUGACCACAACAGCCAUGGGUGCUGUUAAUCACGCUCUAGUCUAACGGCUAUGAUUCAUCCACCAGACUUGGUUUCCUAUCUCCUUAGAAAUCAAGGAUACAGUUGUACGAGCCUAUAGAACAGAUCCUGUUCAAGUAAGCUAAAUGAUGAGAUGAAGAAAAUGGUUGAACAGCUAAAAGAAAAGAAGAAAGAGAGACAGGAUUAAGCUCUCCUUGAAAGCAAGGUACUUGUCUAGCUACUGUUACCAUUCAUAGUAGAAUCUUUCACAUUUAUAUAGUGUUUUCCAGAGACAAAGAAAAAUCCUGUAACCGUGCAUGUAUAUUCUUGUCAUUCAAUUCAAGGCGAUGUGCGAAUAACUUUCACUAUAAGUGUGGUAUCUUGCUUAUUGAGUGGUGGUGGAAGAAGAAAUGGAAGGGUAAGAGAAUGUUUUGGGGUAGGGGUAAACUAGGGUUAUAACCAUCACUAUAAACAUGGUAACCUGCUUAUCGAGUGUCAGGAUGUAUGUUUGCGUAAACUGUAAGAAUGUGCAAUGAGAGUUAAUUGUGAUUUUGAUCAAAGGCACAAGAAUAAAUUAUUUCAAUUGUUUCUCCAGAUAGCUGUUGUUUUUGAACUUGAUUUUGAUGCUUCUUGUAUAUAUCUUUUUCUUUGUUGGAUUCUGAAUAUGAGCUUGUGUAUUACAAUGUUCGAAGUCAUUAUAGCAUCCCUAAUAUCUCACAAAAUUCGGCCUUUGUCAGCUCUUCUGUUGUAUGCUUCAAUCCUUGUUGGGAAAGAAGAGCAAGACACUUAUUUUGCUUGUAUCUCUGUAGAGUGGAAAAAUAAUUCUUCCUUUCAACCUUCAA